GAAAAGUUUGAUUUUGACUUGAAUUUUAUUAGAACUUUGUUUUACAUGUGAGUUUUUGCGUGAAUAAAUAUGAAUUUUUAAUAAAUUUUGUUUAAUUUAAUAUAUUCGCAGUAUUUAGUAUUAGAUAUUAAGGUUAUUUAGAUCUGGUAAAAGUGUUAGUACAGGAGGAAUUUGUGCCAGCAUCCGCGGUUAUACAAAUUGUGCAGAUAAAAUUUUUUGGUUAGUAGUUGGUUGUUUAAGUAUAUACACUAUUUUGUGAAUUUUUAGGUGAAAUUAAAUUUCAUGUUAUGUUUUUUAAGUUAAUGAAGCUACGAAAUUUUUUUUAAAAACUAGGAUUAGAUACCCUAUUAUUUAAAAUGUUAAAAUUAACCAUGGUAGUAUUAGAUAUGGUCUUGAAACCAAAAAAAUUUGGCGGUGUCUUAGUCUAUUUAGAGGAACCUGUUCCGUAAUCGAUAAACCACGAUGAAUUUUACUAAGUUUUGUUUAGUUUAUAUACCGUCGUUAUCAGAAUAUUUUAUAAGAAUAUAAUUUUCUUAAUUUUUUAUAAGAAUACAUUUCAGAUCAAGGUGUAGCUUAUGACUUAGAGGAAAUGGGUUACAAUAAAAUUAUUUAAACGAAUAUUAAGUUGUAAUAUUUUAUUGAAGGUGGAUUUAAUAGUAAAUUAGAUUAUAUUAUUUAUUUGAUUAUAGCUCUAAGACAUGCACACAUCGCCCGUCGCUCUUUUUUAAUUAAAGAUAAGUCGUAACAUAGUAGAUGUACUGGAAAGUGUAUCUAGAAUGCA
rnacentral:ncRNA from 1 species